rnacentral:rRNA from 1 species
UACGGAGGGUGCAAACGUUGCUCGGAAUCAUUGGGCGUAAAGCGCACGUAGGCGGUUUGCUAAGUCGGAUGUGAAAGCCCUCAGCUUAACUGAGGAAGUGCACUCGAAACUGGCAGUCUUGAGUAUGGAAGAGGGUCGCGGAAUUCCCGGUGUAGAGGUGAAAUUCGUAGAUAUCGGGAGGAACACCAACGGCGAAGGCAGCACUCUGGGCCGGUACUGACGCUGAGGAGCGAAAGCGUGGGGAGCAAACAGG